rfam:Lingula anatina scaffold6, whole genome shotgun sequence.
GCGUGGAUGGUGUAACGGUUAGCAUGGUUGCCUUCCAAGCAGUCGAUCCGGGUUCGACUCCCGGUCCUCGCA